GGGCCCGCACAAGCGGUGGAGCAUGUGGUUUAAUUCGAUGAUACGCGAGGAACCUUACCAGGACUUAAAUGUAAGUUGCAUGAUUCAGAAAUGAAUCUUUCUUCGGACUACUUACAAGGUGCUGCAUGGUUGUCGUCAGCUCGUGCCGUGAGGUGUCAGGUUAAGUCCUAUAACGAGCGCAACCCCUAUCGUUAGUUGCCAUCAAGUAAAGUUGGGAACUCUAGCGAAACUGCCGGUGCAAACCGAGAGGAAGGUGGGGAUGACGUCAAAUCAUCACGGCCCUUACGUUCUGGGCUACACACGUGCUACAAUGGUCGGUACAGAAAGCAGCCACUAUGCGAAUAGGAG
rnacentral:rRNA from 1 species